rnacentral:rRNA from 1 species
AACGAACGCUGGCGGCAUGCCUAACACAUGCAAGUCGAACGAGACCUUCGGGUCUAGUGGCGCACGGGUGCGUAACGCGUGGGAACCUGCCCUUAGGUUCGGAAUAACUCCCCGAAAGGGGUGCUAAUACCGGAUAAUGUCUUCGGACCAAAGAUUUAUCGCCUUUGGAUGGGCCCGCGUUGGAUUAGCUAGUUGGUAGGGUAAAAGCCUACCAAGGCGACGAUCCAUAGCUGGUCUGUGAGGAUGAUCAGCCACACUGGGACUGAGACACGGCCCAGACUCCUACGGGAGGCAGCAGUGGGGAAUAUUGGACAAUGGGCGAAAGCCUGAUCCAGCAAUGCCGCGUGAGUGAUGAAGGCCUUAGGGUUGUAAAGCUCUUUUACCCGGGAUGAUAAUGACAGUACCGGGAGAAUAAGCUCCGGCUAACUCCGU